rnacentral:rRNA from 2 species
AACGCGUAGGAAUCUGCCCAGUAGUGGGGGACAACUUGGGGAAACCCAAGCUAAUACCGCAUACGCCCUACGGGGGAAAGCGGGGAUCUUCGGACCUCGCGCUAUUGGAUGAGCCUGCGUCGGAUUAGCUAGUUGGUACGGUAAUGGCCUACCAAGGCGACGAUCCGUAGCUGGUCUGAGAGGAUGAUCAGCCACACUGGGACUGAGACACGGCCCAGACUCCUACGGGAGGCAGCAGUGGGGAAUAUUGGACAAUGGGGGAAACCCUGAUCCAGCAAUGCCGCGUGUGUGAAGAAGGCCUGCGGGUUGUAAAAGCACUUUCAAUUGGGAAGAAAAGCAGACGGUUAAUACCCGUCUGUCUUGACGUUACCUUUACAAGAAGCACCGGCUAACUCCGUGCCAGCAGCCGCGGUAAUACGGAGGGUGCGAGCGUUAAUCGGAAUUACUGGGCGUAAA